GAUGAACGCUGGCGGCGUGCCUAAUACAUGCAAGUCGAGCGAACUGAUUAGAGGCUUGCUUCUAUGACGUUAGCGGCGGACGGGUGAGUAACACGUGGGCAACCUGCCUGUAAGACUGGGAUAACUUCGGGAAACCGAAGCUAAUACCGGAUAGAAUCUUCUCCUUCAUGGGGGAUGAUUGAAAGAUGGUUUCGGCUAUCACUUACAGAUGGGCCCGCGGUGCAUUAGCUAGUUGGUGAGGUAACGGCUCACCAAGGCAACGAUGCAUAGCCGAGCUGAGAGGGUGAACGGCCACACUGGGACUGAGACACGGCCCAGACUCCGACGGGAGGCAGCAGUAGGGAAUCUUCCGCAAUGGACGAAAGUCUGACGGAGCAAGGCCGCGUGAGUGAUGAAGGCUUUCGGGUCGUAAAACUCUGUUGUUAGGGAAGAACAAGUACGAGAGUAACUGCUCGUACCUUGACGGUACCUAACCAGAAAGCCACGGCUAACUACGUGCCAGCCGCCGCAGUAACAC
rnacentral:rRNA from 1 species